UCUCCAUCUAAAGAGCAGGAAACACAUCACCUGCAGGAACUGGGAGGAGAGACUCAGGCAGAUGUUGAGCUGAACAUCUGGACUUUGGAGUGGGUGCUGUAAAAGGGAACAGAAACCGAAGGGGCAGCCCAGAGGAGCGAGGAGGUCACACUGCAGGAUGUUACCAGGAGGAGCUGGUAACACAUUCCAGCGUGUCUGGGAAGAUUUUGCCUCACCCCUUUCCCUGCAGGAGCUGCAGGAGACACACACUGGUCUCUGACACAGCAGCUCUGGAAGUUCCUGGAUCCAGGUCACUUUGGGUGAACCUCAUAGUGCAGGAAGUCAGUCUGGUGGAGGAGCCCUGUCCCCACAUCUGUCCCUGAGCAGAACCUGUUAUUCAUUUCUUCUAAAUAAAUACCUGUAACUG